AACGUAGGAGGCGAGCGUUAUCCGGAUUUACUGGGUGUAAAGCGCGAGCAGGCGGUUCGGUAAGUGGUGUGUGAAAGCAUCCGGCUCAACCGGGUGAGGACAUGCCAGACUGCGGAACUGGAGGCAGGUAGAGGCGGGUGGAAUUCCGGGUGUAGUGGUGAAAUGCGUAGAGAUCCGGAGGAACACCAGUGGCGAAGGCGACCCGCUGGGCCUGGCCUGACGCUCAGACGCGAAAGCAUGGGGAGCGAACGGG
rnacentral:rRNA from 1 species